GACGUAGGAGGCGAGCGUUAUCCGGAUUCACUGGGCGUAAAGCGCAUGUAGGCGGCUAACCAAGUCCUGUGUUAAAGCCCCUGGCUCAACUGGGGGAGGUCAUGGGAGACUGGAUGGCUGGAGGGCAACAGAGGCACGUGGAACUCCCGGUGUAGCGGUGGAAUGCGUAGAGAUCGGGAAGAACACCAGUGGCGAAGGCGGCGUGCUGGGUUGCACCUGACGCUGAGAUGCGAAAGUGUGGGGAGCAAACGGG
rnacentral:rRNA from 1 species